rnacentral:tRNA from 1 species
GCCAGCGUAGCUCAGUUGGUAGAGCUACUGAUUUGUAAUCAGUGGGUCGGGGGUUCGAGUCCCUUCGCUGGCU